rnacentral:lncRNA from 1 species
AUGAUAAAAAAGUUAUGCCUUUUUUUUUGUUUGAAUGAUGAUGAAUACGUAGAUAUCUGUAUUAUGAGUUUUGUAAAUGAUAUUAAUGCUGUUAGUGAUGACGGUAUGACUUAUUUUGAUGCACACAAUAGUAAUAUAAUAAAGGAUGAUACUAAAGGGAGCAAUUGUAGCAAUCGUGGAAAUUAUAGCAAUAAUAACGACAAUAACGACAGUAACAACAACAACAAUAACGACAAUAACGACAGUAAUAACAGUAAUAACAACAAUAACGACAAUAACGACAAUAACGACAAUAACGACAAUAACGACAAUAACGACAAUAAUAACAGUAAUAACAGUAACGACAGUAACGACAGUAACGACAGUAACGACAGUAACGACAGUAACAACCGUAACAACCGUAACAACCGUAACAACCGUAACAACCGUAAUGAUGUAUGUGCUUUUUCAAAUGGAUUAACGAAACAAGAAGAAACAAUCUGUUUAUGUAAUAAAAAGGGAAAAAAAUUAGUUGAUUAUAAGAAAGGAAACAAUAAAUUUUGUUUUUUUAUAAAAUAUAUUUAUAAAAAAUUAUUAAUAAAUAAAAUAAUAGAACAAAAUGAUGUAAUAAAAUUUAAAAUAUUUGAGUAUAUACCCAUUAAUGAUAUUCGUAAAAGUGUAAUAAGAAUUGAAGAUGAGUUUUUAAAUUUAAAAAGUGAAUUUUUACAAAGUAUUUAUGCAAUAUCCUCUAUAAAUAAACAAUUAAUAAGUUACGUAGUUGACUCAAAUUAUGAUAUAAUUACUAAUGCUAUGUUAAGUUUUUUAAUAGAAUAUUUGAACAAUAUUAAUUUGAAAAAUAUAGCCAUACAUAUAUCAUAUUUUUUACAUAUGGUUUGUAAAAAAAUUAUAAAUACAUAUGUUAUGCAAGGCAAACUAUGUAUUAAAUUUUUGUCAACGUUGAAAAGUGCAUGUGUUAAAUAUUUUCAUGAGUACAAAUUAGUACAUACAAUGGUGGGAAACAAAAAUGUAGUUCCUAUGAAUGAAUAUGCAUAUGUUCAUAGUGAUAAAUAUUUAGUAACCAAAGUUGAUGAUGUUUUAAAUGAGAAAAGUGUAAAAGAAAAAAAAUUUGUAUAUAGUAAGUCAAAUGAAAAAAAUAGUUGUAUGACUGAUAUAAAAGAGAAGAAUAAAAAGAAAGGAGAUAGGUGCAUAUUUUAUUUAUUACAUUUUUUAUAA